GCUGGGGGCUGGGACCCCUUGCUCCGGACUGGCUGCUCCUCCGGGCUUCCCACUUGGGGCCUCAGUUUCCACAGCGCGGGAGGACACGGGUAAGGUGGAUGGGGACCACCAGCUCCACCAGAUCAUUCUGCCCUUUCAUGGAAACAGGAUUACAGAGAUGUUCUCUCGAAGGCAACCUUAGGCUUUGCGGUGGAGCUGGAAUCCAGAGGGGAGGCCUAGAUGCAGAUAGAGGGAAGCUACCUGAGUGCAGAAAAGGCGUCUUGACAGUAGCCUGGGCAUUGAGCUGGAAUGCUGUGGUCCAGCUCCCUGGAUGCCAGCAUUCCCUAGGAACUCCAAUGGAAAACCACUGAACUAGAGUUUGGAAGUUAAAAAAGCAUGAUGCAUAUUAGCAUACUGAGGAUUGGAAAGAAACCUGUUUUAACUGCGUUUCAUCCAGUGUUCAGGCUUUAUCUGCGUGUGGAACCCUCUCGCUGUCACUUCUGGAAGACUCACGUGGCCUUCCCCAUCAGCACCGGGAGCGUCGCACUAAGGCAGUCUCCGGGCCCCCGAGCCGGGGGUCCGGGACUCCUGUGUGUGGCUCUGCCACAGUGCAGCUGUGUGACCGGGUCAGGCCUGGUGGGGUCUUGGUCCCCCACCUGACAAACGAGGACGAUGACGCGUGUCCGUAUUUACUAGGAAUGAGUUAGAGGAUGUCCACCAGGGCUUCAAACGCCUCAGGAACCAGGGUCCCUGGAAACAGCGUCGUUGUCUCAGCCGCGUCCGCCGGGAGGGUAAUACGCCACUCGCGAGGUGCGGCAGGCCCGGCCCCACGGGUGCCGCGCGCUCGGCCGUCUCUCCUGGUCUCCGCGGGGGGUCUGUGCACAUUCCGUACACUUCAGCAAGCAAACCCAUUUCGUGCUGACGCCUGUUUCGAACAUCGAUUGAGAAGAGAAGAAAGGAAAUAAAGAGGAACAGACGAGGUGAAGCAGUGGAGGCUCCAGUAGCGGUUAACAACAGGAGCAGCUCACAUCUGUGCAGCUCUUACCACGCGCUGGGCAGCAUGCCGAGCAGCUGAAACACACUGUGUCUAACGUCAUCCCAUUGGAUCCUCACCAAAAUCCUGAGGAAGACACACUGAUUAUGCCAAAAGUUGGAGUUUAGAGCGAUGAAGUGACUUGUCCACGGUCAUCCAUGAAACGGCAGAGCUAAGUCCUGAACCAGGCCUGUCUGACUCCCAAACCCAUGUUAUACUGGUGUUUCCUAAGGUGGUGCCCACGAGCUGAUCUUACGUGGUAAUA